UACGUAGGGUGCGAGCGUUGUCCGGAAUUAUUGGGCGUAAAGGGCUCGUAGGCGGUUUGUCGCGUCGGGAGUGAAAACCCAGGGCUUAACCCUGGGCUGGCUUCCGAUACGGGCAGACUAGAGGUAUGCAGGGGAGAACGGAAUUCCUGGUGUAGCGGUGAAAUGCGCAGAUAUCAGGAGGAACACCGGUGGCGAAGGCGGUUCUCUGGGACGGUACUGACGCUAAGGCGCGAAAGCGUGGGGAGCGAACAGG
rnacentral:rRNA from 1 species